rnacentral:rRNA from 1 species
AACGAACGCUGGCGGCGCGCUUAACACAUGCAAGUCGCACGGGGUGCAUGCCUUCGGGUGUGGACCUAGUGGCGCACGGGUGAGUAACGCGUGGGCACCUGCCCUGAGCUCUGGGACAACCACGGGAAACUGUGGCUAAUACCGGAUGAUCCCCCUGGUUUCGGCCUGGGGGCAAAGUUCUCCUUCGGGAGGGCGGCUUUGGAUGGGCCCGCGUCCGAUUAGCUCGUUGGUGGGGUAACGGCCCACCAAGGCAGUGAUCGGUAGCUGGUCUGAGAGGAUGAUCAGCCACACUGGGACUGAGACACGGCCCAGACUCCUACGGGAGGCAGCAGUGGGGAAUCUUGGACAAUGGGCGCAAGCCUGAUCCAGCGACGCCGCGUGGGUGAGGAAGGCCUUCGGGUUGUAAAGCCCUUUCACCGGGGACGAUGAUGACGGUACCCGGAGAAGAAGCACCGGCUAACUCCG